rnacentral:tRNA from 1 species
GGCUAUAUUGUCUAAUUAGGAUAUUAAAUUGCAAAUUUAAGGGUAAACAUGUAGGUUUUGUAGCUU